AAAUUGAAGAGUUUGAUCAUGGCUCAGAUUGAACGCUGGCGGCAGGCCUAACACAUGCAAGUCGAGCGGCAGCGGAAAGUAGCUUGCUACUUUGCCG
rnacentral:rRNA from 2 species